rnacentral:rRNA from 1 species
GGGGGGGCAAGCGUUGUUCGGAUUUACUGGGCGUAAAGGGCUCGUAGGCGGCCAUCUAAGUCGGUUGUGAAAUCCCUCGGCUCAACCGGGGAACUGCGACCGAUACUGGGUGGCUUGAAGCCGGGAGAGGGAUGCGGAAUUCCAGGUGUAGCGGUGAAAUGCGUAGAUAUCUGGAGGAACACCCGUGGCGAAGGCGGCAUCCUGGACCGGUCUUGACGCUGAGGAGCGAAAGCUAGGGUAGCAAACGGGAUUAGAUACCCCGGGUAGUCCUAGCCCUAAACGAUGAAUGCUUGGUGUGGCGGGUAUCGAUCCCCUGCCGUGCCGUAGCUAACGCGUUAAGCAUUCCGCCUGGGGAGUACGGUCGCAAGGCUG